UCCAAAGAUUUUGAAGGGGCUUGAAUGCCGGCUUCCAUCGGUAAGUGCUUCUUCCCUAUCUUCUAUUCCAUACUUCUCUAUCCAUUUACCAAAGGUCGAUCAUCAAUUUGGACUUUCAUUAUCUGCGCUGUAAUUUGUUUUUUGUUUUUUAAUGAUUUAGUUUCGGAAGGAGCCUUUUUUUUGGAAUUCUGACUUAUUGAGUUAUGGCUAGGUUUACUGGGUGGGUUUCAUUUGUUGUUAUUUAGGUGACGAUUUCUAUAAAAGUUUGUUAUGGAGGUUUACAUAUUGUUAUAAUUAUCAAUUUUUGGUUGUACAUUUUGAAACUUAAAUUCCAGGACUUAUGCAGAGGGCAUAAGGGUUAGAGGACAUUUUAAGGUGUAUAGGUGGACUGGUCGUUGAUGAGGAGUGACAGGGUGACCCUAUCAAUCCUUUCUUUGAGUUCCUUCUACCCCUCCAUACGCUCCUCCCAACUGGUUUUCUCCGACCUUUCCCCACCUGCCAGGUUUUAUUCUUAAAAUGUUUCAUGUUUGAUUUCCCUCAUCUCUGUUUGAUUUUGCUUCUUCUUUGCACAACCAACUUCAAGAUUACAGAAGGUUUAUAUAAUACGCUACAAAUGUUUUUUUAGGUAAUUUUUAAUCUUCUGUUUUUAAUUUAACCUAAUUACAAGAUGUGUGGAAUUCUAAUAUACUGCCUCUAUUUGAACUUUGAAAUCAACAAAAGGUGUUAUUUUUUUGUGUAGAACUUUCAUGUACAUGUCUUCGUUAUGAAGUAAUUGAGGUGUGUCGACAUCAAUUACAGCAUUUCUCAUCAUUGUUACAGUAUUUGACAUUGAUUGCGUUACUAAUUACCAUUACUAAACAUCUACCUGAUGUAGAGGAUCACCAAAAGUUUCAAAUUUCUACUUUUGCAACAUAACUUAGAGUAAGAAACACUGGUUUAUUAGAAUCCGAGCUUAUUAUGGUGAAUUACAUUGGUUCAAUAGUUGCAGCAUUCUAUUUGACUCAGGUGAACUUUUUAUAUAAAAGGAUCUAAAAUAACUUAAAAGGGCAAAAGUUUUUUUUACAUGGUCUAAGGACCAACAAAGCCAGAUAAAUUUGGUAAACAACAGGAAGUUAAACAAAGUAACAGGGAUUUCAUAUUUAUUUUUCCUAUAGUAGAAUUUAAAAUUUUGUUUUACCAUUUUAUGUUAUAAGUACGCUGCUUUUAUUAAUUUUAAUUUUAACAUGUUGAAUUUGAUUUUUU